ensembl:lncRNA
AAUAUGACGUUAACCAAAAGGAAGUUCUAAAUAAAUUCCUCCACGGCAACAACAAUGCAUUCAGCACAAAGUUAGAGGACAACGGCUCCAUCAGUCUGACCAUCAGCAACAUUAAUGAAUAUUUGCUGGGAUUCUACUAUUGUACUUCAGGAAUCGACAAAGAUCUUACAGUUGGAUCCGGUUACAUUCUUGAAUAUGAGAAGGGCAGUGUUUCACCUAAAAGUGAUGAUGAUGAUGAGAAACUGGAUGGAUGUUCAACAGGUCCUCCUGAGUCUUCAGACGGUCCUCCUGAGUGUUCGGGGCAGUGCUGGGUGCUGAUGGCCAUUUUCUGUCCUCUCAGUGCUGCUUUAGUGGGACUGUUGGCCUUUAUUCUUACCUGGAUCCUUCACAGAAAAGGAAACAAUGAAUCAGACAGAAUAAAAACAGCCCAGGGACACAGCAACGAUGUACAGGGUAUGGAACAGGUAGUGCUUUACACCUCCUUCUGUUUGUCAAAUGGAGAUCAUCGUGGCAAAAGAAAAAACACACAUCAUUAAUGUGAUCCUGUGUAUCUUUAUCAGCUAAUGUUACAUAAUAUGAACAUGCUGAAUAUGUAUGUUUUAUGUGAGUACAUUUUCUAGUACAGAUAUCUACCUUGUGUACUGCAGUUGUACUAUGUUGUCCUAUUAAAUAUACAUUCAUUUUCUGC